rnacentral:misc_RNA from 1 species
CAACCCUUAAGCCUUAGCUGCUUAGCGUUGGGAAUUUACGUGCAGUAAUUCCUCAAAGUUAGUGGCGGAGUUGGAUCAGACUCUAAGCGCAGUAAUUUACCUCUCGCUUCUGCAGCUGGUCCGGCCCCUGCCGUAAAACCUACCCUAUAACAAGU